rnacentral:rRNA from 1 species
CCUACGGGAGGCAGCAGUAGGGAAUAUUGCACAAUGGGGGAAACCCUGAUGCAGCAACGCCGCGUGAGGGAAGAAGUUAUUCGGUCUGUAAAGCCCUAUCGUCAGGGAAGAAAAUGACGGUAUCUAAGUAAUAAGCCCCGGCUAACUCCGUGCCAGCAGCCGCGGUAAUACGGAGGGGGCAAGCGUUAUCCGGAUUUACUGGGUGGAAAGGGAGCGUAGACGGGAGUGCAAGUCUGGAGUGAAAGGCUGGGGCUUAACCAUAGGACUGCACUUGAAACUGUACGGCUGGAGUGUAGGAGAGGUAAGUGGAAUUCUUAGUGUAGAGGUGAAAUGCGUAGAUAUCAGGAGGAAUACUAGUGGCGAAGGCGGCCUACUAGAACGUAACUGACGCUGAGGCGCGAAAGCGUGGGGAGCAAACAGGAUUAGAUACCCGGGUAGUC